rnacentral:rRNA from 1 species
GGCUACGAGGACGAACGCUGGCGGCGUGCCUAACACAUGCAAGUCGAACGAAGCAUUGGAGUUGAUCCCUUCGGGGUGACGCACCUUAUGACUUAGUGGCGGACGGGUGAGUAACACGUGAGCAACCUGCCUCUCAGAGUGGAAUAACAGUUGGAAACGGCUGCUAAUACCACAUAACGUUUUUGUGCCGCAUGACACUUCAACCAAAGAUUUAUCGCUGAGAGAUGGGCUCGCGUCCGAUUAGGUAGAUGGUGGGGUAACGGCCUACCAUGCCGACGAUCGGUAGCCGGACUGAGAGGUUGAUCGGCCACAUUGGGACUGAGACACGGCCCAGACUCCUACGGGAGGCAGCAGUGGGGGAUAUUGCACAAUGGGCGCAAAGCCUGAUGCAGCAACGCCGCGUGCGGGAAGACGGCCUUCGGGUUGUAAACCGCUGUCCUUGGGGAAGAAACAAAUGACGGUACCCAAGAAGGAAGCCACGGCUAACUACGUGCCAGCCGCUGC